ACACACGUGCUACAAUGGUCGGUACAGAGGGUUGCCAAGCCGCGAGGUGGAGCUAAUCCCAGAAAACCGAUCGUAGUCCGGAUCGCAGUCUGCAACUCGACUGCGUGAAGUCGGAAUCGCUAGUAAUCGUGGAUCAGCAUGCCACGGUGAAUACGUUCCCGGGCCUUGUACACACCGCCCGUCACACCAUGGGAGUGGGUUGCACCAGA
rnacentral:rRNA from 1 species